rnacentral:rRNA from 1 species
UGCAAGUCGAACGGCAGCACGGGGGCAACCCUGGUGGCGAGUGGCGAACGGGUGAGUAAUACAUCGGAACGUGCCCAGUCGUGGGGGAUAACGUAGCGAAAGCUACGCUAAUACCGCAUACGAUCUAAGGAUGAAAGCGGGGGACCGUAAGGCCUCGCGCGAUUGGAGCGGCCGAUGGCAGAUUAGGUAGUUGGUGGGGUAAAGGCUCACCAAGCCUGCGAUCUGUAGCUGGUCUGAGAGGACGACCAGCCACACUGGGACUGAGACACGGCCCAGACUCCUACGGGAGGCAGCAGUGGGGAAUUUUGGACAAUGGGCGCAAGCCUGAUCCAGCCAUUCCGCGUGCAGGAUGAAGGCCUUCGGGUUGUAAACUGCUUUUGUACGGAGCGAAAAGGUCUUCUCUAAUACAGGGGGCUCAUGACGGUACCGUAAGAAUAAGCACCGGCUAACUACGUGCCAGCAGCCGCGGUAAUACGUAGGGUGCAAGCGUUAAUCGGAAUUACUGGGCGUAAAGCGUGCGCAGUCGGUGAUGUAAGACAGAUGUGAAAUCCCCGGGCUCAACCUGGGAACUGCAUUUGUGACUGCAUCGCUAGAGUGCGGCAGAGGGGGAUGGAAUUCCGCGUGUAGCAGUGAAAUGCGUAGAUAUGCGGAGGAACACCGAUGGCGAAGGCAAUCCCCUGGGCCUGCACUGACGCUCAUG